AAAUUGAAGAGUUUGAUCAUGGCUCAGAUUGAACGCUGGCGGCAGGCCUAACACAUGCAAGUCGAACGGUAGCAGGAAGAAGCUUGCUUCUUUGCUGACGAGUGGCGGACGGGUGAGUAAUGUCUGGGAAACUGCCUGAUGGAGGGGGAUAACUACUGGAAACGGUAGCUAAUACCGCAUAACGUCGCAAGACCAAAGAGGGGGACCUUCGGGCCUCUUG
rnacentral:rRNA from 2 species